rnacentral:rRNA from 1 species
AGUGAACGCUGGCGGUAGGCCUAACACAUGCAAGUCGAACGGCAGCACAGUAAGAGCUUGCUCUUACGGGUGGCGAGUGGCGGACGGGUGAGGAAUACAUCGGAAUCUACUUUUUCGUGGGGGAUAACGUAGGGAAACUUACGCUAAUACCGCAUACGACCUACGGGUGAAAGCAGGGGAUCUUCGGACCUUGCGCGAUUGAAUGAGCCGAUGUCGGAUUAGCUAGUUGGCGGGGUAAAGGCCCACCAAGGCGACGAUCCGUAGCUGGUCUGAGAGGAUGAUCAGCCACACUGGAACUGAGACACGGUCCAGACUCCUACGGGAGGCAGCAGUGGGGAAUAUUGGACAAUGGGCGCAAGCCUGAUCCGGCCAUACCGCGUGGGUGAAGAAGGCCUUCGGGUUGUAAAGCCCUUUUGUAGGGAAAGAAAAGCAGCAGGUUAAUACCCCGCUGUUCUGACGGUACCCAAAGAAUAAGCACCGGCUAACUUCGUG